GAUUAUCCAGGCUUGUAUCCUGGGGGGCUGAUGAGGAGUAGGGUUUCUGGACAACUUAAACAGAUCCAGAGUUAGUCGAUCCUAAUCUCAAUAAUGGGAGAAAGGGAGUACAGUUGAUAUUCUGUAACUGACAACAGUUCGCGGCAACGCAUACUAUUUUUCUCCGCCAAUCUUAUACCGUUGGUAGGGAUCUCUUUCCUACAUGACAGUACUAAUACCCAGGGAAACUGGUCAUCAGGCGAACUGCGGCGUUCUGCUGGCAAAACAUAGCUUCGGUUAUGUCAAUGGCUAUUGGAUUGGUCCAUGAAGCGAAAAAUAGUUUACUGUGUCACUCGUACCGAUAACCGCAUCAGGUCUUCUAGGUAAGUAGCCUAUGGCCAUUGAGGCAUGAUAGUUCAGGGAAUUCGGCCAAUUAGAGCUGUAACUUCGGGAUAAAGCUUGGCUCUGAUGAAAAUCAGAACCGAUUGUUACGCGGAGAGCCCAACUGUUUAAUAAAAACGUAGUGUCGCGCUGUGGUAGUAUAGCCAGUGAACGCGACAUGAAUCCUGCUCAGUGCUGUGUCUGUUAAUAUGGUUCAAGCCAACGAAGCACCGGUAAAUAGCUGGGGUAACUAUGACUCUUAUCAAAGUAGCGAAAUACCUCGUCACUUAAUUAGUGACCUGCAUGAACGGAGCUAUGAGGUUCUCACUGUCCCAAACUGUCUCUCAGCGAACCAACUGUAGUGGGAACGGUCACUAGAUAUCCAGCGGGGAAAGAAGACCCUGUAGAGCUUCACUUUGGUCUAGUCUUGUAUAGUUCCUGCGGGGGUGUAGACUAGGUGGGAGAGCAAUCGAUUCUGAAAAACCACUACCCUGUUUGGAAUUAUGCUUACCUAUCACAAGGAAUAGGACUAGAUAGAAAGUUUGGCUGGGGCGGCACACCUUCGAAAGAGCAGCGAAGGUGUCCUAAGUUGAGCUCAGUGAGGACAGAAAUCUCACGUUGAGGAUAAGGCCAAAAGCUCAAUUUACUGUGCCUUUUUGUACUAGGAUCAGUUACGAAAGUAAAGCCUAACGAUCCCUAAAUA
rnacentral:ncRNA from 1 species